UCUCCAUCCGUCUCUCCCCUCUCUUUUCUUCCCCGGCCACGCUCACGCCACCGCCGCUGCUGUGCGUGCGGCGGAUCGCCGUCGCGGCCUCCGGCUCUCUCUCGGGACCCUCCGCCAUCACCGAUCACCGCUGCUACGCACCGCCUCAGCCGCCGCUGCUGCUGUGCAUGCACAGUGAGAGGCUUCGCCGUUUCUUCUCCGCGCCUCGCGCUGACGCUUCCCCCUUCUCUCCCUAGUUCUCUUUCUCUCUCAGAAGCGGCGCUGCCCUGGUCCCUCGGAGUUCACCGACUCGCCGCCAGGACCGGCGAUUUCUCGCCUCUGUCCUGCCCGCGUCGCAGUCGACUCUCCUCUCAGUCGAACGCCGUCCGUUGCUCGCAAGUGUCAUUGCUGCCCCGUGAAGUUUGUGCUACUGCCCUCGUGGCCUCGCCAUCGUCGGUAGUCUUUGGACAGCCCUUCCGGCCCUAAAGCUAAGUUCUUAACCCCUUCCUUACUUAGUGUAGUUAUUUGAUUUGGCACAGUAGCUAUGUGAUUACUGAUUUUGAUUUGUUUGGGAACUUGAUUGAUGAGAAAGCGAUGAUGUUCUUGACAAUUGUUUUAGAAUCUAUGAUGAAGCAUUGUUUACAUAAAACGAAAUUGGUGUUGUUAGAUUCUUUGCAAUAUGAUAUUGAAACAUAAGAUUUGUUUGGGGUAGCAAAAAGAAUAUCAAGAAUCUAUGUUAAAGUUCCCUAUUUCCUUUUGUACAUGCUUGGCUAAUGACAUGGAUUGUUAUGGAAAGAAUUUGGAUUUGAUAGUGUUACCUGUGGAGGGCUGUGAAGGAGAAUGAACUCUUCUUGUUGCUAUUAACUCUCAAUUCUUGUUAAAUUUGUUGGGUUUUUCGAAGAGUGUGUGUGGAAGGGGAAGAUCUUGCUGCCUGUGAAGGGUGUUUUAUAGGCAAGCUUGGAGUACUUUAGGGAAUUGAAUGACUGAUACUUUUGCAGGUGUACAAAUCGUAACAUAUCUUCCUUUUUCUGAUUUCCUAGCUCCUUUCUCUUAAAGUAAAAUGAUGUUUAGUUGGGUACCUAGUACUUGGCCAGUAAACAUUUUGUUUGUUCUUGCAUAGUGUACCAAAAGAGGGUGCAGGGCUGAUCUUGAAGGAGGGGCGUUUGUAGGGGAAACUGCAAGUCUUCGGCUGCCACCGUGCUGACUCGGGCCCGACGGGCCAUCGGGAACGGGCCGCGAUUCGGGCCUAAAGAAAAGACCCGAAGUGCUCGUUUGGAAGCUUACAUUCCGUUUUCCUUUCUUCGUGUAAUUCCUUUGAAAUUAGUUGGUAGUUUAUUGUGUGUGUAAAGAUAUUCGAACUCCUUUGGUCCAAAAACUUUUUGUGCUCCCUUCUAUAACUUAUUAUCGAAGUCGUUUUAGUUCGUUCGAUUA